rnacentral:rRNA from 1 species
GUCGAGAAUCUUUCACAAUGGGGGCAACCCUGAUGGAGCGACGCCGCGUGGAGGAUAAGGUCUUCGGAUUGUAAACUCCUGUCAUGCGUGAACAAGGUUGCUUGGUUAAUACCUGGUCAAAUUGAUGGUAACGCAAGAGGAAGAGACGGCUAACUCUGUGCCAGCAGCCGCGGUAAUACAGAGGUCUCAAGCGUUGUUCGGAAUCACUGGGCGUAAAGGGUGCGUAGGUGGCGUGGUAAGUCAGAUGUGAAAGCCCGGGGCUCAACCUCGGAACUGCAUCCGAUACUGCCAUGCUAGAGUACUGGAGAGGUGACUAGAAUUCUCGGUGUAGCAGUGAAAUGCGUAGAUAUCGAGAGGAAUACCAAAGGCGUAGGCAGGUCACUGGACAGUUACUGACACUGAGGCACGAAGGCCAGGGGAGCGAACGGGAUUAGAAACCCCUGUAGUCC